AGUGAACGCUGGCGGUAGGCCUAACACAUGCAAGUCGAACGGCAGCACAGGAGAGCUUGCUCUCUGGGUGGCGAGUGGCGGACGGGUGAGGAAUACAUCGGAAUCUACUUUUUCGUGGGGGAUAACGUAGGGAAACUUACGCUAAUACCGCAUACGACCUACGGGUGAAAGCAGGGGACCUUCGGGCCUUUCGCGAUUGAAUGAGCCGAUGUCGGAUUAGCUAGUUGGCGGGGUAAAGGCCCACCAAGGCAACGAUCCGUAGCUGGUCUGAGAGGAUGAUCAGCCACACUGGAACUGAGACACGGUCCAGACUCCUACGGGAGGCAGCAGUGGGGAAUAUUGGACAAUGGGCGCAAGCCUGAUCCAGCCAUACCGCGUGGGUGAAGAAGGCCUUCGGGUUGUAAAGCCCUUUUGUUGGGAAAGAAAUCCAGCUGGCUAAUACCCGGUUGGGAUGACGGUACCCAAAGAAUAAGCACCGGCUAACUUCGUGCCAGCCGCCGCGGUAA
rnacentral:rRNA from 1 species